UUUCUCAUGAGCGUUUGUUACUUACCUGUCAUCGGCAGUUCUCAGUGUUUAGAUGUGGCCCCCAGUCGUCAGCCUGCACGCGUGGACUGCUGCCAGAUCUCGAUGGGCCGUGAGCUGCCCUGUCGGUUGCCUUGGUGUUCAAACUGCAGAUUCACCAGGGGGGCCUGUCAAGCCGUGCUGUCCCGGCUGCGUGCCCCGUCGUUAAGGUUUUGAGCACUUCCCUGCUUCCUGGCACAAGGAGUCCCACCCAGGCUCCUCGGGCCUCUCUGUCUCCACCCUGGAGUCGGCCGUUUGGAGGGCCCGGGCUCCUUCUGGCAGGAACUGGUUUCAGAGACCGAUAUCUGGGUGCACAGUGCACGAUAUCUGCACAAUGUGCACAGUGUGCUCACUGCUAUCAGGACGCCCGUGUUUCUCGGCCCUUUCUUCGGAGAGAGAGGACAGGCGCGCCUGCACGUGGGCACACGCUUAUGCACGUGCACAGGCGUGAGAGGUCACGGCACCAGCUGACACCUCCAGUUCCACCCCAUCUCUGUGGGCGUGUGUUUGCCUCCCUCAUUCCACGUCUGCAUGUCCUCUCCCUGCAGUGAGAAUCCUGACCCCGACAACAUCAACGUACGUUUGACCCGUGUCAAGGGACACCGACCCCCACGCAGUCGGAAAUCCGCAUAUAACCUUUGACCCCCCCCCCCGCCAAGGCUUAACUACUAAUAGCUCCUGUUGAGUGGAAGAUUUACCCAUAACAUGAACGGUCGAUGACACAUAUCUAUAUGUUACAUGUCAGAUGCUGUAUUCUUUCAAUUAUGUAAGCUACAGAAAAGAAAAUGUUAAUUAAGAAAAUCAUAGGGGGACUUCCCUGGUGAUCCAGUGGUUAAGACUUUGCCUUCCAGUGCAGGGGGUGCGGGUUCGAUCCCUGGUCGGGGAGCUGAGAUCCCACAUGCCUCGCAGCCAAAAAACCAAAAACAUAAGCAAUAUUGUAACAAAUUCAGUAAAAAAAAGAAAUCAUAGGGAAUUCCCUUGCGGUCCAGUGGUUAGGACUCUGUGCUUCCACUGCUGGGGGCCUGGGUUUGAUCCCCGAUUGGGUAACUAAGAUCCUGCAAGCUGCGCGGCGGGCCAAAAAAAAAAAAAAGAAAAUCAUAAAAAAGAAAAUAUUUAUAGUACUGUACUGUGUUUAUCAACAGCAUGAGUUUUCGUCAUCUGUUUCCAAGAUGAAUAAUCAGUACCUACAUCAUUAUUGUCUUAGACGACACGAAAGGCUGUAGAUGUUACACAUGUAACUCAUACUAGACAUCAAUAAUGAAAAGGUAACGUGAAAAGGAAAUUCACAUUUAUUUACAGGCACAACGAUAUGUGCAUUGAUGAUGAAGCAGCAGCAACAUGACUGCUUUAUGGCUGCCUAGUGUGAUCGAUACGAUCGCUCCCAGGCAGCCCGGCCUGUACACUAAUGGAUGGGUCGUCAUAAAAAUUUUAUGGCUUAUAGUAUUGCAGUCAUAUUCAUAAUACAGUAUUGGGAACAUUGUCACAUUAAAAAGAAAACCUACGAUGAUAGACUGUUACACAGUUUCUCCAAUUACGAGUCAGGGAGACUACCUAAUUCUUUGAAAGCAAAGUUAUAAAAAGCACAUUAACUUUAUACUUAGUAUCACUCAGCUUAUGCCUAUGUGAGGAUGGACUGUCCACUUCAAUAUGUGUCUUACAUGGUGUACAGCUGUUAGGCUUUCACAUCGAGGCACACAACAGAGGUCUCUGAACCGCAGCGUGAUGAUUGUUCACUGUGCGUUAGGUGGAGGCGGGUCGUCACAGGUCUUCAUCCCCCUGGUCCUCACGCUGAGACUGGGGAGGAGGAAGCGGAGGGGAGGCCUUGCUGUCUCCGGCGGCAGAGCCGUGGGGGGUGGAAGCAGGGGAGGCCGGUGCACUUGGUGAACUUGGCAGAAACACAUCAGUCUCUGCCCGACUUUUUUGCUUUCUCAUUUCUCUAGAGUGUUUCUGUCUACUACCAAUCCUUCCACCGUUUGCUUUAGCUUCAGUACCCGUAUCACGGAAGGGUCCAUAUUGUAAAACAAGUCAAAAGUCGUCUUGACUCAUUGGAACUGUUCUGCCAGGCAGUCUGAUGUCAGUUUGUUUCCUGGCGCUGCUUCUUCUGCACCUGUCUCAUCGUCUGCCUCCAGAAGCCCUCAUCUAUCUCCAUCAGGUUGUCUUCUGUGGGUUCCUCCGGUGUGCUGCCUAGUAGCCCUUGAAUUUUUUUCUUUUUUUUAGACUGUGCCACGUGGCUUGUGGAAUCUUAGCUCCCCAACCAGGGAUCGAACCCAGGCCCCUUGUAGUGGAAGCUCGGAGUCCUAACCACUGGACCACCAGGGAAGUCCCAGUCCUUUAAGUUCUUGAAGACCCAUAUCUCGGAACCGUUCACCCCCGCCCCGCGCCCACUUUAUUUGCGAAACCCACAAUCUCUUUCAUGAUUUCCUUGAUUGAUUGAUUUAUUUUUGGCUGUGUUGGGUCUUUGUUGCUGUGCGUGGGGUUCCUCUAGCUGCGGUGCGUGGGCUUCUCAUUGCAACAGCUUCUUGUUGCGGAGCAUGGGCUCUAGGCGUGUGGGCUUCAGUAGUUGUGCCAUGUGGGCUCAGUAGCUGUGGCUCACGGGCUCUAGAGUGCAGGCUCAGUAGUUGUGGCAUGUGGGCUUAGUUGCUCCGCGGCAUGUGGGAUCUUCCCGGACCAGGGCUUGAACCCGUGUCCCCUUCACUGGCAGGCGGAUUCUUAACCACUGCACCGCCAGGGAAGCCCCCCAUGAUUUCCUUGAUUGUGUCAUAAAUCCUGUGAAGUCAUGCACAGCAUCUGGACGGUUCUCCAGCAGGAAUGUAUUGUUGUGGGCUUGAUGGCUCUCACGGCUUUUUUUUUUUUUUUUUUUAAUAACAGCGAUGUCAUCCUCAGUGGUAUGAUCCUCCCAGACUCUCAGACUCUCACGACGUUCUCUGUAUCAGGGUUCUCUUCCAUAGCGUUGACGCUCCUUUCCGCACAGUGUCGUGUGUAAUGAGCCUUGAAGGUCCUAUGGCCCCCUGACCUAGAGACUGAAUAGAGACAUUGUGUCUGGGGGCAAGCAGACCACUUCAGCGCCUUCGGUGUUGCACUCAUGGAGUUCUGGGCGGGCAGGCGCGUUGCCCAGUAUCAAAAGAACUGUAAAAGGCAGUCCCUUCCUGACAAGGUGCUUCCUGAAUUCAGGGACAAGGAAUCGAUGGAACCGGUUGCCCAGGCCCUUUUGAUGUCCAGUCAAAGACCGGCAGCUGCUGCUCCUCUUCUCCCUGCAAGGCUGGGGGUCAGCGGCUUUACAGAUGAGCGCGGUCCUGGCCGUAAACCCGAUCACGUUUGUGCAGGAUAAUCGAGACAGCCCAUUCCUUCCUGCCUUAAAUCCUGCUGCUUGAUCCUCCUUACUGAGGAAUGUCCUUUGUGGCAUUUUUUCCCAGAAUAGGGCAGUUUCAUCUGUAUUAAAAGCUUGUUCAGGCAGAUGUCCUUUCUACCCAAUGAUUUUCUUCACAGCGUCUGAGAACGUGUCUGCGCCGCCUCUCCCGUUACCUUGACAUUUUAAAGCCAAAUCUCUUUCUAAAAUCAUCAAACCAUCCUUUGCUGGCAUUCAAGUCUCCAGCUUUACAACCUUCCCCUCACUUUCGCUUAAGUUGUAUGAUGACUUUGCUUUUUCUCGAAUCAUUCUUAGAUUCUAUAUAGGUGCACCUUUCUUAUGGCAAUCCUGCGCCCGCCUAAAAGCUGCUUUUUCAAAUAAAAAGGUAUUUCACAAGAAGUGCAAGGCUUUCUGCCUGCUGGUGUAGCUGCAGUGCCAGCUUCAUGGAUUUCCUUUCCUUUUUUACAUUCAUCUUGAAGUGGCGGCAGCCGCAGCUGCAGACCUCACUCUGCGACGCACAUCAAGCCAUUCAGCUUUUUCUCUUCACGUCUUCCUCUUCUCUGCGUCUUGGGAGCGCUUGCAGCAUUGCCAGGGCACUUCGUGGGUCCCGUGGUGGUGGUCAAGGUUCCCGGUGUUGCACUAAAUACAAUGAAAUAAUCCGCAAGAACCACAAGAGACUGCGGUUUACUGGAGAGACCACCUGCUCCGGAGCGGGGGAGCGCACACGGCGCUCGCUGUAGGCGGACGCGGGGAAUACGCGCGCCGGAAGCAGCAGCAGGGGUGACUGCAGCAUUAUUACUGUACGUGCUACAGUUAAUUCAUGCAGUGAGGACUUCGUACGGCAUCUUUACGUUUGCUUCCUUUCUCUGCACUUCAAAUGGAGCCAUGUGUUGUGUGCCUCAGGCCACAUGGCUCAUCUGUGAGUUUUUUGAAGCUGUCAAAAGUCUCCAAAAACUUUUCCAAUAUAUUGAAAACAAUCCACGUAUGAGUGGACCGUGCAGUUCGAACCUGUGUUGUUCAAGGGUCAACUGUGAUUGCUCAAGAUGAUAAAUAGUUUCGGGAUCCCUUUGCCAUACAAACAAGACGUCUGGAUUCAUGCACUUUGCUCCCUUGCCCACGACUGUCAAUACUGCAUUUAUAAAUUCCUUGGAUUACCCA